AUUGAACGCUGGCGGCAGGCCUAACACAUGCAAGUCGCGCGAGCGGCGGACGGGUGAGUAAUGUCUGGGAAACUGCCUGAUGGAGGGGGAUAACUACUGGAAACGGUAGCUACUACCGCAUACCAUCAGAUGUGCCCAGAUGGGAUUGGCUAGUAGGGGGGGGAACGGCUCACCUAGGCGACGAUCCCUAGCUGGUCUGAGCGGCUGACCAGCCACACUGGAACUUGGACACGGUCCAGACUCCUACGGGUGGCGGCGUGGGGGCAUAUUGCACAAUGGGCGCAAGCCUGAUGCAGCCAUGCCGCGUGUGUGAAGGAGGCCUUCGGGUUGUAAAGCACUUUCAGCGGGGAGGCGUUACCCGCAGAAGAAGCACCGGCUAACUCCGUGCCAGCAGCCGCGGUAAUUC
rnacentral:rRNA from 1 species